CCUACGGGUGGCAGCAGUGAGGAAUAUUGGUCAAUGGGCGCGAGCCUGAACCAGCCAAGUAGCGUGAAGGAUGACUGCCCUACGGGUUGUAAACUUCUUUUAUAAAGGAAUAAAGUGAGGCACGUGUGCCUUUUUGUAUGUACUUUAUGAAUAAGGAUCGGCUAACUCCGUUCCAGCAGCCGCGGUAAUACGGAGGAUCCGAGCGUUAUCCGGGUUUAUUUGGGUUAAAGGGGGCGUAGAGGGGUUGUUAAGUCCGUUGGGAAAGUUUGCGGCUUAAACGUAAAAUUGCAAUUGAUACUGGCAGCCUUGAGUACAGUUGAGGUAGGCGGAAUGCGUGGUGUAGCGGUGAAAUGCUUAGAUAUCACGAAGAACUCCGAUUGCGAAGGCAGCCUACUAACCUGCCACUGACAUUGAUGCUCGAAAGUGUGGGUAUCAAACAGGAUUAGAUACCCCUGUAGUC
rnacentral:rRNA from 1 species